GCGGUUAUGAUGCAUAAGGAAAUCUUUAUGCACUCUGCAUAAAUCUAGAAAUGGUUUUGGAGUACAACUCACGAAAACCAUUUUUAUAGCAAAAUGGUUUUGGCAUAAUUUUAUGCAGGGUGCUGGAAACCAUUAAGUAUAUCUAAUGGUUUUGGAGUACAACUCACAGAAACCAUUUCUGGAUUUAUGCAGGGUGCAUAAGGAUUUCCUUAUGCACCAUAACCG
rnacentral:pre_miRNA from 1 species